GGCGGAUCUCCUCCUUCUCCGUCAAGAUCCAGCCCUUGUCCUCCGCCUCCGCUGCAUGGGCCUUCAGGAGGUCCAAGUCCGUGCCAUCCUUCGGGGACUUCGCCGGCGGCCCUCUCAGAAGGUGGUGGGAUUGGGGGCUGGGGUGGGUCCUCUCGAGGAAGCCGACCUUCGCCCGGGACCUCGAGAUGAACGAGGAGGAGACCGUGAUGCUCGGAUGCCACAGCAAGGGGACCUGGCGGCACGUCUUCUACAAGGUGCGGUCGGAGUUCAGGAAGCUCGUGGGAUCCAACACCUUGCCGACCACGCAGCAAUUUAGGUAUGAUUCCUUCAGCUAUGCGAAAAAUUUCGAUGAUGGCAAGAUGGGAGAGCAGUGAGG
rnacentral:lncRNA from 1 species